GACGAACCACCCAAACGUUAUUCGGAAUUACUGGGCUUAAAGGGUGCGUAGGCGGCGCGGAAAGUCAGAUGUGAAAUCCCUCGGCUCAACCGAGGAACUGCGUUUGAAACUACCGUGCUUGAGUAAGACAGAGGUAAGCGGAACUUCGGGUGGAGCGGUGAAAUGCGUUGAUAUCCGAAGGAACACCGGUGGCGAAAGCGGCUUACUGGGUCUUUACUGACGCUGAUGCACGAAAGCUAGGGAAGCAAACGGG
rnacentral:rRNA from 1 species